rnacentral:lncRNA from 1 species
UAUCGUCUGGGCCCACUGCUUUUCUAUGCUUCAUCUUCUUCAAAGCUACAACCAUUUCUUCCUUCCUGAUUCGACGAUAAAAUGAGUAGUUUCUACACUCUUCUGAGUUACUCAACUCCCCUAAAGAAGUACUCCUUUCAUGUCCUUCAUUGAAAAGAUUAUGAAAAUAACCUCUCCAUCUGUCUUUGACCGCGUUCUCUGUAGCAAGAACCUUUCCAUCCUCAUCCUUAAUGCACCUCACUUGGUUUAGGUCCCUUGUCUUCUUUUCCCUUGCUCUAGCUAGUUUAUAGAUAUCCAACUCUCCUUCUUUGGUAUCUAGUCGCUUAUACAUAUCGUCAUAAGCCGCUAACUUAGCUUUCCUCACAGCUUUCUUCGCCUCUUGCUUCGCUCUUCUAUACCUUUCCCCAUUUUCAUCGGUCUUGUCCUUGUAUAAGGCUUUACAACAUUCCUUCUUAGCCUUCACCUUUGUUUGUACCUCCUCAUUCCACCACCAAGAUUCCUUUUGGUGUGGAGCAAAGCCCUUGGACUCUCCUAAUACCUCUUUUGCUACUUUUCGGAUACAACUAGCUAUGGAAUCCCACCUUUGGCUAGCUUCCCCCUCUCUAUCCCACCCACACUGGGUGAUUA